UGGGUCUAAUACCGGAUAGGAGCGUCCACCGCAUGGUGGGUGUUGGAAAGAUUUAUCGGUUUUGGAUGGACUCGCGGCCUAUCAGCUUGUUGGUGAGGUAAUGGCUCACCAAGGCGACGACGGGUAGCCGGCCUGAGAGGGUGACCGGCCACACUGGGACUGAGACACGGCCCAGACUCCUACGGGAGGCAGCAGUGGGGAAUAUUGCACAAUGGGCGAAAGCCUGAUGCAGCGACGCCGCGUGAGGGAUGACGGCCUUCGGGUUGUAAACCUCUUUCAGUAGGGAAGAAGCGAAAGUGACGGUACCUACAGAAGAAGCACCGGCUAACUACGUGCCAGCAGCCGCGGUAAUACGUAGGGUGCGAGCGUUAUCCGGAAUUAUUGGGCGUAAAGAGCUCGUA
rnacentral:rRNA from 1 species